GGCACAAUGGGAGCCCCUAGAAGCAGUACAACUAUUUGGACAUCUUUCUUACGCAGUGAUUCCUGUCUUAUCUUAGAAGGCACUAGAAGAAAAAGGGCACAGAAGCUUUGUAGAGGAAUGUCCGAAGACCCAGUCCAGUUACAAUUACACAGAACAAAGGUCCUGCCACUGAAAUGAACAGCCAUGGGAUCCAGCAGUUCAGUUUCUUCUCCUCUUCAUUUCUAAAUCUCAAAAGCAUUUUCUUCAGCACGAAGGCAUUAAAUCAACAUUCUCCAUCAAAAAUGAACAAUUACUUUGUUGACUUGCUCAGAUUCCCGCUUUAAGCCUCCCCACAGAUCUCUCCUAGCAAGCCAACAGACAGCAUCAGUAGCACAGGAAAGGUGUCAGAGGAAAUUUAAAAAACAAGAAGA